rnacentral:misc_RNA from 1 species
UACCCACUAUCGCAAGCGUUGCAGUCUGCUUCUUCUUAAUAGCUAAACUUUAAUACGAAAUAUCACCUCAUUUAUUAAAAUUCACCCGCUUUGUGAUAAAAUUCCGUCAAUUACCUACGUUCUUCAACUUGUCACUUCCUAUGCCCUUAGUUAAAAAUCGUAAGUUAUCUUAAUUACGUAUCGAUAUUCACGUAAAUUUACCUAAACAAUUCCAGGUAAUAAUAUUCCUACGGUCACACGUACUGCGCGUGAUCAAGCGCUGGCGCGUUGGGUCCACGCAUUUACACCGUGACGCCAGCCGCACGGCGGCCUAUCACACCGUGCAGUAGCAGCUACGGGGAUUGGAUCGUUGAACAAUCAACACUGGGGUUUGGUGCACAUUUAUUAUCCUGCCUAAUUUGUUGAAUUUGCCCUUGAUAAUGUCUACCGGAAGUGAUAAAGGUGGCGGUACUGAUCAAAGUACGCAAAUGAAAGAAUUAGUUUGUUCGCGAGGUGCAAAAAAGGGUCAACUAACAAAAUUUAACAAUUUUAUUACAACUUUAGGUCAAAUUCCGAUUGAAAAUAUUACAAGUUUACAACACAAAGAAUUAAUUUUCCGUUUAAGCAAAAUCGAAAACGUUAUUCAUGAGUUUAAUGAAAUUCAAACUAGGAUUGAAUUUUUAAGCGAAGAUAUUAAACAUACAAUUGAAAGAGACAUCUUUGAAGAUCUUUACUAUUCUUCUAUACCUAUUGCUCAGGAACUUAUUGAGUCAUAUUUAAAAGCCAAUCCUGUAGACAAAUCAGAUGGUAACAGCGAUCAUUCGCAUAUAUCAGUAAAAACGGGCUGUAACCAACUUAACAAUAUCAAACUACCCACAAUUAGCUUACCAAAAUUUGAUGGAAAUUACUUGAAAUGGCUGGAGUUCAGAGAUACCUUCGAUGCAUUAAUAAAUUCAAAUGAAACAAUUUUAGACAUAAACAAAUUUCAUUAUUUGAGAUUGUCUUUAGAAGGUAGUGCAACUGUUGUCAUAAAAUCCAUAGAAUUUACUUCAAAAAAUUAUAAAGUGGCAUGGAAUUUGUUAUGUUCUCGUUAUGAUAAUAAAAAAGUCUUAAUAAAUAACCAUUUAAAAGCGUUAUUUUCCGUCGAACCAUUAACGCGUGAGUCGCACAAGGCCAUUCAAUUUUUGAUUGAUCAUACACUUAAAAAUUUAAGAUCACUUGAAAGUUUGGGUCAGCCCACUGACAAAUGGGACGUUCUCAUUAUUUAUAUUAUGGCUAGCAAAUUGGAUCCCAAUACUUUAUCAAAAUGGGAAGAGCACAAAAGUGCUUCCUUAGAUGGAGAAUCUUUGGAUGAAUUUAUUGCAUUUUUGCGUAAACGUGCAGACGUUCUAGAAACAAUAUUUUUUGGCAAAAGCGACAAACAAAUCAAUAAACCUUUUUCAUCAAAUAAAGUUAAAUAUACUGAUAAUGAUAAUUAUAAAAGAUCGUCUCCACAAAAUAAUCAAAAAAGUUUUGUCGCUUCUGGCAAAUCAAAUCGUAAUUAUAACCCCACUUGUCCAUUCUGCAAAGAGAACCACAGGAUUGUCGAAUGCGACAAAUUUAAAAAAAUUUCGCCGGAGGAUAGAUCAGGUGAAGCCUUAAAACUUAAUCUUUGCUUGAACUGCCUACGGCGUGGACAUUCCGUUAAGGACUGUCGCUUGGAUGGAAGGUGUCGUGAAUGUCGACAACAACACAAUACUCUGUUACAUGUCGAUCAAAACGUAAAUAAGGACAAUAAUCAAGUUUACCAGUCAACUUCAAUACCUAUUUCUUUGGCAGCCCAGUCAGCAAGCCAAGUUCUUCUAGGUACUGCCAUGGUACAAGUUGUUAACACUAAAACCAAAAAUACUUACCUGGCCCGUGCCUUGCUUGAUGCAGGCAGUCAAUCGUCAUUUAUAACAUCGAACCUAAAAAAUAAAAUGGGCAUAAUCAGUGAGAAAACAGAUUUUUGCAUUACCGGCAUUAGCAACGCCCCAAUUCAUUUGUCCGAUAGCUGUGAAGUAACUAUUCAAUCUCUAAAUGGCCGUUUUACUGUCGCUCUUAAAUGCUUAGUGAUGCCUAACAUAACCGGUCACUUACCUAAUACUCCUGUGGAUAUUUCGCGUCUCAAUUUACCCGCGAACAUUAAGUUAGCUGAUCCUAAAUUCUAUCAGCCAUCAUCAAUUGAUCUUCUUUUAGGUGCAGAAAUAUUCUUCGAUGUCAUUACCACAAAUAAACUCAAUAUUGGGCCCGGGAUGCCCAUCCUCCAAGACUCUAAGUUCGGAUGGAUAGUGGCAGGUCCCCUUAACUAUCGGUACCGAGACACGUCAUGUGUGCCUCUCCGGUAAAAACGGAACUACACUGCUUCGUGGAUGCGUCCCAAGACGCCUAUGCUGCGUGUAUUUACCUGAGAUCGCUUGAUGAACAUAAUUCCGGCACUUCCUCAUCGGGCGGCCGCUGACGUCACUGCCGGCACCACCGGGCGACAACAUGAAACUUAAGAACCGUUACAUCCUCAUUGAAAACUUGAGACAACGCUUCUGGGAGAGGUGGAGGCACGAAUACCUAUCAGAGAUGCAGCAACGAACCAAGGGCCGUCUACGCAAUAGUAACCUUCAACUCGGAGACCUGGUUGUCUUCAAGGAGGAAAACCUUCCACCCCUAAAAUGGAGGUUGGGUCGAGCACAAAAACUAUAUCCAGGCGCUGAUGGAGUAGUCAGAGUGGCUGACUUCCUAACGUUCAGAGGGACAGAGCGACGAGCCGUCAACAAGGUGUGCCCACUUAUACCUCAACCUCAACAACAGCCUCAAACAAGAUGAUCAUUGAAAGAACGCCCUUCUUUCAAGGGGGGGCAAGAUGUUCGCGCUGUCUACAAUGACGUCACUCCUCGAGCAGCACGGGCGCGGGGUGAUUAACCGCGACCAGCGGCGCCGCGGCGGCCGGCCGCUGCCACACCGCGACGCCCCGCACCACUCGCAAUUUUCAUAUAGAAGAGGACACACGCGCGCUUGUCGUAGCCUUUAUUCCUAAUAUUUGUAACGUACCUACUACAAAAAUAAAUUGUCUUCAUUAUAAAAGGUCAUUAUUUUAUUUG